rnacentral:lncRNA from 1 species
UGGAGGGAUAAAUAGGUAGGUGGGUUGGGAUGAAAAAAAAGAUUGGUGGGGCAGUGAAUUGUGAAAGUAGGCUGCCUACGCAAAUACAACCAUGCUGGUACCUUUCCCGUGCCGUAGCAUAAAAAAUCCCUACCAUAUGUGAUGGCACGACUUUGGAAGUGUUACCAAGGUAAAAUAAAAUCAUGUGUUAAUAAAAAUGACAGUCUACAACAAGGCACACAAAUGGGCUAUUAUUGUAAAGUUAUGUAGUCAGAUGGGCAAGGCAGUUUUAUUUGCAGCUGAAUGGAACCAUGUCAAAUAGGAAGACACUUUAAGAGGUCAAUAUGUACUUCCUUGGCUAGGAGAUUUU